GGGCGGUUAGCUCAGUUGGUAGAGCGUUGGUUUCACAUACCAGAGGUCAGAGGUUCAAGUCCUCUACCGCCCACCA
rnacentral:tRNA from 1 species